GAGCGCGAGCUCGGGCACCUGGCGGCGAGCGGCGAACGGGUGAGUAAUACAUCGGAACGUGCCCAGACGUGGGGGAUAACUACUCGAAAGAGUGGCUAAUACCGCAUACGAUCUAAGGAUGAAAGCGGGGAUCGCAAGACCUCGCGCGUUUGGAGCGGCCGAUGGCAGAUUAGGUAGUUGGUGGGUAAAGGCUUACCAAGCCCGCGAUCUGUAGCUGGUCUGAGAGGAUGAUCAGCCACACUGGGACUGAGACACGGCCCAGACUCCUACGGGAGGCAGCAGUGGGGAAUUUUGGACAAUGGGCGAAAGCCUGAUCCAGCCAUUCCGCGUGCAGGAUGAAGGCCCUCGGGUUGUAAACUGCUUUUGUACAGAACGAAAAAGCUCUUUCUAAUACAGAGAGUCCAUGACGGUACUGUAAGAAUAAGCACCGGCUAACUACGUG
rnacentral:rRNA from 1 species